rnacentral:rRNA from 1 species
UACGUAGGGUGCAAGCGUUGUCCGGAAUUAUUGGGCGUAAAGAGCUCGUAGGCGGUUUGUUGCGUCGGCUGUGAAAUCCCGAGGCUCAACCUCGGGUCUGCAGUCGAUACGAGCAAACUAGAGUGUUGCAGGGGAGACUGGAAUUCCUGGUGUAGCGGUGAAAUGCGCAGAUAUCAGGAGGAACACCGGUGGCGAAGGCGGGUCUCUGGGCAACAACUGACGCUGGAGGAGCGAAAAGCCGUGGGGAGCGAAACAGG